rnacentral:misc_RNA from 1 species
AAUUAGCACGUCCAAAGAAGGAUAAUAACUUGUCAUCUGCACUUAUAAAAUUAUCUACCAGAUUGGGAGAACCUUG